GACGAACGCUGGCGGCGUGCUUAACACAUGCAAGUCGAACGCUGAAGCUUGGUGCUUGCACUGGGUGGAUGAGUGGCGAACGGGUGAGUAAUACGUGAGUAACCUGCCCUUGACUCUGGGAUAAGCCUGGGAAACUGGGUCUAAUACUGGAUAUGACAUGCCACUGCAUGGUGGUGUGUGGAAAGGGUUUUACUGGUUUUGGAUGGGCUCACGGCCUAUCAGCUUGUUGGUGGGGUAAUGGCCUACCAAGGCGACGACGGGUAGCCGACCUGAGAGGGUGACCGGCCACACUGGGACUGAGACACGGCCCAGACUCCUACGGGAGGCAGCAGUGGGGAAUAUUGCACAAUGGGCGGAAGCCUGAUGCAGCGACGCCGCGUGAGGGAUGACGGCCUUCGGGUUGUAAACCUCUUUCAGCACGGAAGAAGCGAGAGUGACGGUACGUGCAGAAGAAGCGCCGGCUAACUACGUG
rnacentral:rRNA from 1 species